GAGAUGAGAUCUCCCAGGUCGCAAGACCUCUGAAGGCUCCUGGUAGACGACCAGGUUGAUAGGCCAGGUGUGGAAGCGCCGCGAGGCGUUGAGCUAACUGGUACUAAUAAGCCGUGCGGCUUGACCAU
rnacentral:ncRNA from 1 species